UAGGGAAUCUUCCACAAUGGACGAAAGUCUGAUGGAGCAACGCCGCGUGAGUGAAGAAGGGUUUCGGCUCGUAAAAGCUCUGUUGGUAGUGAAAGAAAGAUAGGAGGUAAGUAACGUGG
rnacentral:rRNA from 1 species